rnacentral:rRNA from 1 species
UUAAAUUGAAGAGUUUGAUCAUGGCUCAGAUUGAACGCUGGCGGCAGGCCUAACACAUGCAAGUCGAACGGUAACAGGAAGCAGCUUGCUGCUUCGCUGACGAGUGGCGGACGGGUGAGUAAUGUCUGGGAAACUGCCUGAUGGAGGGGGAUAACUACUGGAAACGGUAGCUAAUACCGCAUAACGUCGCAAGACCAAAGAGGGGGACCUUCGGGCCUCUUGCC